AUACUUUCUUCAUUCAAAAGAUAUAAAAAUAUUACUAAUCGAUAAAUAAUUGUUUUGGUGUAUAUAUAAAUGAUAUGCGGUCAAAAAGUUUUUCUUUAAGUUAACUCUAAAAGUAUAACUCAAUAAGAAAACUAAUAAAAAAAGACUAAUUAGAGCUCUUGUCUAUAGUUUGCAGUUCGAUGAAAUUCUAUUUGAAGUAUAAAUAUCUCGAUAAAUGAGUAGUAAUCAAACAAUCCCAACUCGACAAUCUACAAAGUGAAAAACUCAUUCUAAAUCAUCAUCACAAUUAUACUUAGUAAAAAAUGGCUAGCUCAGAUUCUUUACUAUGAUAUUCUUAUAACACUCAACCAACAAGAUUUUAACGUCCCCAGUAAACAAGAUAUUGUUGAUGUAGACACAAUUCUCUCUCAUUUGAAUUUUUAUUACAAAUUAAGAUCCUAAUCCAAUGGAGUCUUAAAUUUUUUUUUCCUCCUAAGAGUUGUUUAUAUAAACAAACUUCAGAGGAGGGAGAGAGAGAGGAACUCAACAACAAUAAACACUACAACCAUAUAUACUAUAUGGUAAUAUUCUCAUAUUAACACUCAUAAUAGUAAAAAUACUGUGGUAAUAUUUUCAUAUUAACACUCAUAAUAGUAAAAAUAUUGUGGACAUAACCUGAUAUUCUGAUAACUAGGUCAAACCACAAUAACAAUCUUUUGUCUCAUUUAUUAUUUUUCUUAUAUUACUUAUUGUCUCAAACAUUGUAGCAGUUCAAUGCUAAAAGAGAGAUUGUGAUUAGAGGAGGAGGAUUUCAACAUAAAAAAUCAUUGACUAUGAAUCCAAGUAAUAUGCGAUGAUGAUGGUUAUGUAAAGAUUGGUCAAUUGAAGAUGAGCAUGAGAGGGACUAGUUUUAUUGUGAUAUUUGAUAUGAUGAUAUGACCUAUAUAUAUGGCAUGGUUGUAUUAUGUUGAGUUAUUACUAUGUCGUACUACACACAUUGAUUGAUAAUUUGUUUUAAACAUUUUUUGUUUUUUUUUUUGCAUACCUUUGAUAUAUGAAUAUUUUUGGUA